GACGAACGCUGGCGGCGUGCUUAACACAUGCAAGUCGAACGGAAAGGCCCUGCUUUUGUUGGUUGCUCGAGUGGCGAACGGGUGAGUAGCACGUGAGUAACCUGCCCUUGACUUUGGGAUAACUUCAGGAAACUGGGGCUAAUACCGGAUAGGAGCUCCUGAAGCAUGGUGGGGGUUGGAAAGUUUCGGCGGUUGGGGAUGGACUCGCGGCUUAUGAGCUUGUUGGUGGGGUAGUGGCUUACCAAGGCUUUGAAGGGUAGCCGGCCUGAGAGGUGGACCGGGCUCCAGGCGCCUGAGAUACGGACCAGUCUGCAACGGUACGCAGUAGGGGGGAAUAUUGCACAAUGGGGGGAAGCCUGAUGCAGAAACGCCCGGUGCGGGAUGACGUCCUUCGGGUUGUAAACCGCUUUCGCAGUUGACGAAGCGGGAGUGACGGUAAUGGGUAAAGAAGCACCGGCUAACUACGUG
rnacentral:rRNA from 1 species